UGUGACACCUUUCCAUCCUGUGGAAAAGCACAGCAGAAAUAAGUAACUGGGAAUAUGAUUAACAUGAAACAAAGAUAAACUAAUUAUCCAAGCUCAAGCCCAAAGCAUCCAAAAGCAGAUGUAGGAACAGCUCUCUUUAAUCUGAAGUAACAUAAAUAUUGAGCAUGUCCCAGUUUAAGCCAAAAAAAAAAAAAAAGAAAUUCUCCAACUCAAAUAAAGACAAAAACAAAGGAAAAAAUCAAAUAUCUUGAGCAACUCUUUGGACAAAGCUAGAGAGAGAAAUAUCAAGCUUGUUUUUAAGUUGCCUUUUUGGUCUUGAUUCCUUUUAACUGAAAAGAAAUAUAUGUGAGGAUUUCUAGGGAGGUGUUGCAGAGAAUGCAGAUGAUGGAAAGAAUAGAAGACUGUAAAUCAGAAUGGAAUAUGCUGAAUAGAGAAGAAAGAAAAGUAUAAAAGGGCCAUUUUGUCUGUAAGUACUUAACCAAUAAAACCACAGAACUGAAAACCCAAUAAAUUUCAACUAUCUGAAAAGUGAACGACCAGUAAGAUUUAUCAAUCCAAACUUCUGUUUUCAUCCAUAUGAAUCAAAUUGGUGGUAGUAAUUCUAGCAACGGCGGUAGGUGCUGGUGGUGGCGUUAAUGGCAUAGUUUGCAGGGGAAAAAUAGAGCUUAUGGGGCUAGAAAAAUGCUCUUAAAAGGAAUAAAGCUUCUAAUACUAAGGGAUUUUGAAUGCAGUAAACAAAAUUAUCAUGUUCAAAGGGAAUUAGACAAAGAAUUUUAAGCUCUCACAAAUUAACUUUAACAGGAAAAUCAAAAUUUGAACUUGACACUGUAUCAAUUCUCUUGCUUACCUUCUUCUUCUUCUUCACUGUGAGCACUGAGCUGCAAGAAAACUAUCACUGUCAAGCUCACGACCCACCUCUCCUUCAGCUCUUACAAGUAAACUAUCACUUCUAUACUUUUCUUCUUCUUCAAUUUUGUUGUUCACUUGCUUGCCCUUUAACUACGAUGGAUUGCCUCUGUGAUGCAGGCAGAAUGAGGGGGCAGCAGAUUGCCUAUGUGCAGCAGCGAGGCUGAUGAGCGGGUGACACUUUGCUUCUGAGCAGAGGCGAGAAUGAGGGGUGACAGAAAGAUUGGAUGGCUGUGAUAAAUUAGGCAGGCACCAGAUUACUUCCUGCCUCAACACCAUCCUUCCCAACCUUCCAUGCCGUUUGAAUAAAAUAUCUUUUUAGAUAGUAAACCUUUCUGUUGCUUGAUUAAAAGCCCAAAAUCUCCUCUUUAAUCUGUUAAGCACUAAACAUGCUCCAAUAGCUGGCGCUGCCUUGCUUCUGGUAUCAAUAGAAUGCUCAACUGAAGGAUUCUGAUAUAAACCUAAAUCCUUAGAUUCUGCAAAUUGUGAACAUCACAAGAAAUUGUUGAUUUUUGUCAAUUGAGUGUCCAUAAUACAAUCAGAGCAUCACUAUCCCUACCCUACCAAAUCACAAUUAUGUGGUAAUUCAAACUUCUAGUUGCUACGAUUUAAAGGUUCAGUCACAACACAUAUUUAAAAAACAAAACCACUGUCUCCCAAAUCCCAACGAGGAAAUUCAGAUGUAGAAGGCUAAUGCCACCGCAAUCGGCAUGACCCAGAUCACAAAAUGAACAUGCAA
rnacentral:misc_RNA from 1 species